AGAGUUUGAUCAUGGCUCAGAAUCAACGCUGGCGGCGCGCUUAACACAUGCAAGUCGCACGAGAAAGGGAGCAAUCCUAAGUAAAGUGGCGUACGGGUGAGUAACACGUGGAUCAUCUACCUUCUAGUGGGGAAUACCUCCGGGAAACUGGAGACAAUACCGCAUAAGCUCGUAAGAGGAAAGCAGCAAUGCGCUGGAAGAGGAGUCCGCGGCUGAUUAGCUAGUUGGCGGGGUAACGGCCCACCAAGGCGAAGAUCGGUAGCCGGCCUGAGAGGGCACACGGCCACACUGGCACUGAAACACGGGCCAGACUCCUACGGGAGGCAGCAGUGGGGAAUCUUGCACAAUGGAGGAAACUCUGAUGCAGCGACGCCGCGUGAGCGAUGAAGCCCUUCGGGGUGUAAAGCUCUUUCGACGGGAACGAUAAUGACGGUACCCGAAGAAGAAGCUGCGGCUAACUACGUGCCAGCAGCCGCGGUAAUACGUAGGCAGCAAGCGUUGUUCGGAAUUACUGGGCGUAAAGAGUGUGUAGGCGGUGUUCUAAGUCUGUUGUGAAAUCUCCCGGCUCAACUGGGAGGGUGCGGCGGAGACUGGAAUGCUAGAGUAUGGGAGAGGUAAGCGGAAUUCCUGGUGUAGCGGUGAAAUGCGUAGAUAUCAGGAGGAACACCUGGUGUAGACAGCUUACUGGACCAUGACUGACGCUGAGACACGAAAGCGUGGGUAGCAAACAGGAUUAGAUACCCUAGUAGUCC
rnacentral:rRNA from 1 species